rnacentral:lncRNA from 1 species
AUUCUUCCUCCAUUACCUCACUGCCUCCGGUGGCUGCUGGGAUACCGGAGGACUCGGGUCCCGGCUCGACUCAGUCCUCCAGCCGCCCGGGGAAUACCUCUAGUUCUUCCCGGCCGCCGCCGCCGCCGCCGCCCCGCCGCUUCCUCCUCCGCCUGCCGGCCUCCUUCGCCCCGUCCCGUCCGCGCAGCGCGUCCGGCCCGCCCGCAGGCCAGCUUCUCUCGGGAGCCCCCACCCAGGCGCAUGGCUCCAUGAAGCAAGAGGAGGAGGCAGAGCGCGAGAGGUCCCGUCCGCCCCAGCCGCGUCUGGGCCAGGAUAAAAGCAAAACCAUAUUCCUGCUGCUGUCAGUUAUGAUGCACUGAGAAAACUUCAGAGACCUAAACUUUUUCCAGAGAAGAGAAGCUUUACUGGUGUUCCAGCCCUAAGAAACCUUUGUUCAAGAAAACGGCAGAUGCUCUGUUGAAUCCACUGGAGAUUGUUCUGAUACUAAGGACAAGUAUCAACCAUCUUUCCUGUGAAAAAUUCCCUCUCGUACUUUAGUUCUGUGGAUCCAAAAUUUAUAGCAUUCUUCUACCACCACAGGGGCUCAUAUGACAUUAACAGACAAGACACUUUUCAGAAAGACAGGCAACGUGUUGGACCUUCCGGAGCUUCUCAGAAGACAGAGGGUUUUCUUUUGAGGAUUUAAACCUCAGACACAGGGAGCUGACCUAUUCACCUUAGAAUCCUCUGGGGCACCCAUUACAGUGUCUGUACCAAGGAGGCAACAAAGAACGGCGGAACAGACUGGAGCAGAAGGACCACCCAGCAGAGCCAAGCCAAAUCACUGACCCUCAGAGGCCUGAUGUGAAUGCUUAUGGCUUCAGUCCAUUGGAUUCUGCAGUAAUCUGCCGAUCUACAGUAUUACCACAGUAAAUAACCGAUAGACCUGAAAACGAAUGCAUGCCUUGUGCCAAAAUUGCAGGAAACCUCACCAGGAGAAACAAUUUUAUAUGAGGGAAUGUACUCUCUCCUUUGCAUUUUCCCUCAAAUCUAUAUUUUUAGCCCCUCACUUGUCUCUACAGAGCCUCAGUUGCUUAAUCUAAUUGCUGACUGAACAUCUCCAGGAAACUGUGUGUACGUGUUUGUAUUCAUAGUAUAUUUAUUUAUUAUCUGUUUACUUCCAUGGGAUAUAGUCUCCAUAAGAGAGUAGUCAUCAUUGUAUUUGUUGAUGCUUAAUAAAUAAUCAUUGAAUGG